AAUUCGACGCAACGCGAAGAACCUUUACCUGGGCUUGACAUCCCGAUCGUACCUGCUGGAAACAGCGGGGUCAGUUCGGCUGGAUCGGAGACAGGUGCUGCAUGGCUGUCGUCAGCUCGUGUCGUGAGAUUGUUGGGUUAAGUCCCGCAACGAGCGCAACCCUUGUCCUUAGUUGCCAUCAUUUAGUUGGGCACUCUAAGGAGACUGCCGGUGUUAAACCGGAGAAGUGGGGAUGACGUCAAGUCCUCAUGGCCCUUAUGUCCAGGGCUACACACGUGCUACAAUGGCCGGUACAAAGGGCAGCAAAGCCGCGAGGUGGAGCCAAUCCCAGAAAGCCGGUCUCAGUUCGGAUUGGAGUCUGCAACUCGACUCCAUGAAGUUGGAAUCGCUAGUAAUCGCGGAUCAGCAUGCCGCGGUGAAUACGUUCCCGGGCCUU
rnacentral:rRNA from 1 species